AUUGAACGCUGGCGGCAGGCUUAACACAUGCAAGUCGAGCGGAGUGAUGGUGCUUGCACUAUCACUUAGCGGCGGACGGGUGAGUAAUGCUUAGGAAUCUGCCUAUUAGUGGGGGACAACAUCUCGAAAGGGAUGCUAAUACCGCAUACGUCCUACGGGAGAAAGCAGGGGAUCACUUGUGACCUUGCGCUAAUAGAUGAGCCUAAGGCGGAUUAGCUAGUUGGUGGGGUAAAGGCCUACCAAGGCGACGAUCUGUAGCGGGUCUGAGAGGAUGAGCGGCCAACCUGGGACGGAGAAACGGCACAGACUCCUACGGGAGGCAGAAGGGGGGAAUAUUGGACAAUGGGGGGAACCCUGAUCCAGCCACGCCGCGUGUGUGAAGAAGGCCUUAUGGUUGUAAAGCACUUUAAGCGAGGAGGAGGCUCUUUUGGUUAAUACCAAAGAUGAGUGGACGUUACUCGCAGAAUAAGCACCGGCUAACUCUGUGCCAGCCGCCGCGGUAA
rnacentral:rRNA from 1 species